rnacentral:miRNA from 1 species
GAUGACAUGGACACCAAAAUC